rnacentral:rRNA from 1 species
CACUCCUGCGGGAGGCAGCAGUGGGGAAUUUUGGACAAUGGGCGCAAGCCUGAUCCAGCCAUGCCGCGUGCGGGAAGAAGGCCUUCGGGUUGUAAACCGCUUUUGUCAGGGAAGAAAAGGUUCUGGCUAAUACCUGGGACUCAUGACGGUACCUGAAGAAUAAGCACCGGCUAACUACGUGCCAGCAGCCGCGGUAAUACGUAGGGUGCAAGCGUUAAUCGGAAUUACUGGGCGUAAAGCGUGCGCAGGCGGUUAUGCAAGACAGAGGUGAAAUCCCCGGGCUCAACCUGGGAACUGCCUUUGUGACUGCAUGGCUAGAGUACGGUAGAGGGGGAUGGAAUUCCGCGUGUAGCAGUGAAAUGCGUAGAUAUGCGGAGGAACACCGAUGGCGAAGGCAAUCCCCUGGACCUGUACUGACGCUCAUGCACGAAAGCGUGGGGAGCAAACAGGAUUAGAAACCCGAGUAGUCCCAUGAU